UACGUAGGGGGCAAGCGUUGUCCGGAAUCAUUGGGCGUAAAGCGCGCGUAGGCGGCUCGACAAGUCGGCCGUGAAAUCUCCAGGCUCAACUUGGAGGGGUCGGGCGAGACUGUCGGGCUCGAGGUGGGCAGAGGGCAGUGGAAUUCCGGGUGUAGUGGUGGAAUGCGUAGAGAUCCGGAGGAACACCAGUGGCGAAGGCGGCUGCCUGGGCCUGGCCUGACGCUGAGGCGCGAAAGCGUGGGGAGCGAUCCGG
rnacentral:rRNA from 1 species